AUACCUUUCUCGGCCUUUUGGCUAAGAUCAAGUGUAGUAUCUGUUCUUAUCAGUUUAAUAUCUGAUAUGUGGGCCAUGUGCCCACAACGAUAUUAAAU
rnacentral:snRNA from 1 species